rnacentral:rRNA from 1 species
GGAAUAUUGGGCAAUGCCCGCAAGGGUGACCCAGCAACUCCGCGUGGAGGAUGAAUGUCGUCAGAUUGUAAACUCCUGUUAGAGGGGAAGAAUAGUACCGGUUGGACCGGUAUCUGACUGUACCCUCAGAGAAAGCCCCGGCUACCUACGUGCCAGCAGCCGCGGUAAUACGGCGGGUGCAAGCGUUAUCCGGAUUCCCUGGGUUUAAAGGUUGCGUAGGUGGGCAGAUAAGUCAGUGGUGAAAUCUUCCGGCUUAACCGGGAAACGGGCGUUGAUACUAUUUGUCUUGAAUAGUGCGGAGGUAAGCGGAAUAUGUCAUGUAGCGGUGAAAUGCUUAGAUAUGACAUAGAACACCAAUUGCGAAGGCAGCUUACUACACAAUAAUUGACACUGAGGCACGAAAGGGUGGGUAGCGAACA